UACGGAGGGUGCGAGCGGUGUUCGGCAUCACUGGGCGUAAAGCGCGUGUAGGCGGACUGGCAAGUCUGGUGUGAAAGCCCGGGGCUCACCCCCGGAAGUGCACUGGAAACUGCCAGACUCGAGUCCCGGAGAGGAGAGUAGAAUUCCUGGUGUAGCGGUGAAAUGCGUAGAUAUCAGGAGGAAUACCGGUGGCGAAGGCGCCUCUCUGGACGGUGACUGACGCUGAGACGCGAAAGCGUGGGGAGCAAACAGG
rnacentral:rRNA from 1 species